AUGUGGUUGACAAAAUAAGUCUACGAGAAACGGGAAGUGAAACAUGCUCGAUCCAUGGUGGACUGCAAGAAACCCCUGGGAAACAUCCACACAGUCCACGCAUCCGACCAUGGACCGCCCGAUCCACCAUGGAUCGGGAUAUCAGGGAACUGAGCCCACACGUGCGUGUGCAUGGGCCUGGGCUGUUCCCACGCCUGCGUGCAUGCACCUAGGCCUGGGCCAUGCUCCCCAUGCUGGCGCCCAGACCUAGGCAUCGCUUUGUACGUUGGGUCGUGAUUGUUAGAUGGAUGUCUGGCCAGGACACCAUCUCCUAAGACCUUUUCGAUACCGCGUGAUGCAGCAGAAAGAGAGAAGAAAUAAACAGAAAAUAAUCAAAUACGUAGAUCAGCCAAAAAGGGCUCGCCAUCACAGGGCAUGCAAACUUCACUAUGAGAAAAGAAAUAUUAUAAGAGGAGAUCUCAUCCUCAACCCUCGUACACUCAAUUUCUCCCUCACAAAAGCUCUCUCUCUAGGAAGACACCCUGAAUCCCUGAAGUGACCGCUGUUCGCUGUCCAGGAGCCUUUUUGCUCCUUUUCUCCUUAACGUCAUGCAUCUCUCUCUUUUUCUCCACGGGUUCGGUCUCUGCUGAAGCUUGUGCACGUCCACAAGAUCACCAACCACCAC
rnacentral:lncRNA from 1 species